rnacentral:lncRNA from 1 species
CUCUUGCCAGGCCUGAUCAACAAUUAUUCAAGACAUGUGAUGUGGACCGCAUUUGAUGAUUCUCUUCAAGGUGUAAACCUACGCAGCAGCUUAAUAAACAGCAUACAUUGCACAGUCAACAUUGAUUUACACAUCUUCUGAAGAGAUGAUGCAUGAAAUGAUCAGAAAAGUCAAUAAUGCAAGCAAAAUGUAUGGGCUUGAGAUAAGUAACAGAAAACAAAAUCAAUGCCUUCCAGCUAUUACCAUCAUGAAGUAGAGUUCAUAAUAGAUAACAUUAAGUUUGAACAAGUUGCAUCAUUCCAAUACCUGCAAUCAGCUGUCACUUCUGACAAUAAUUGCCAGAGUGGUAUUCAUAUACAUAUAUGUUAGCUCUACCUCUGGUGCUAAAUGCAUUUAGCUGAACAAUCAGAGCAAACAACCUGACGAGCCAGAUAUUUUAUUAUUCUGACAUUAAAAAAAGGAGACUGUGAAGCCCAUUAAUCACGACCCGUAUUACCAUGAACAUAUGAAUAUAGCACUGAAGAAAGCCCCCAAAAUUUCCUACAGACAUAUUAAAACAAAUAGCAGAGGCUGUUGAUGGGAUCAGCCUAUCAGUAGCUCAGAGGGAUGAAAUUUAGCAGAACGAGGCAGCUGACACUAUCAGAGCACCUGAGCAACAAUGACUCAGUCAAGCAGCACGGGCAACGAUACAGCUCGGCUUUGUGUCCAGACCUUUAUGUGGGACCUAUCGUAUGACUCUACAUCAAGGAUUCUGAUAGCCCCAGGACGCAAUCAAUAAGAAAGCAACAUAAGAGAGAGCUCUGGCCACUGAGGGCUUGUCAACAUGGGGAAGCUAUUGUGAAACACAGGAGGGUGUGAGUGUGGAGUACAAUGGCUCAGGCCGUUGUGGAAGCCGAUAGUCUGAGUAUUUCGGCAGCAGUGCGUGUAACCUGUGCCACUGAGCAAAACCAGGAGGAGUUGCCUUUGGAGUGCAGGAGAGGCUGCCAAACACAGCUCCGGCUAUUUGCAGAAGCAAUCAUCCUGCCUGUCGUGCAGAGGCUGGUAAUGACACACACAGCCUCUUCCCUCCAGCCAGGAGGAUGGAUUUGGCUUCGGCUAUUCACUGUCCGACUUUGACCAAUUGAUAAUUAUUCAAUGGCUGUAAAAAAUACAUUGGCAGUCUCAAUCCAGCUCUUAACAGAGCUGUAAAACGCUCACAAAAAUACAACAGACAGCAGUGACGGUGCCCUUUUGUGAGUAGCAAGAGGCAGAGAGGAAAAAGUGUUCUUCCUUCCUACAAGGCAGAAGCAAAGGUAGUGCCUCACCAGGAGAUGGUGGUGUGGGGAGUUAAAUCACCAUAAGUGCAUCUCUGCUCCUUCCCCUAGCACUGGGAAACUGCCCUGAGCUGCAGCGUCGCAGCUGAAUGGCCAUCCCAGCAAAUCCAUUCUCUAAUGGCUUGGAUCUGAUCUGCAGAUGAGAAGAUGAUUUCAGCAGAGUUCUGCUUUGAUUUUUUAGGGACCCAUUCAUCUCCCCAAACUAAAAUCUGAGCUCAUAAAGCACAAACCCACACAAGCUAAAACCAAUCAGUACUUCCCCAAAUCCCUGCAAAGCCGAACCAUUCAGUGCCGCACUGCUCUGCCAAUAAUAGUAACAAGUAACACUACACUCAGACUGUAAUUUUUCAUAUCCAGUGUUCUGUUGUCAUAUGAUUUACUGUGCUAGCACUGAGAGCCAUUGCCCAAGCCCUCUCUCUGCACUCCUCCUGAUUUACUUAAAUCUUUUUACUUUUAUCAGCCACAGGGAAUGGGGACACUUACAUGUAACAACUGACAAUUUGAACAGAAAAUACAGAGAAAAGCUGUGUAAAGCAAGUGGCUGAGAUUAUAGCUGUUGACUUCUAAUAUUAUUUGACAGAUGAGACUGCUGCAAUUAUCCUCUGCUCAUGGGUUCCAUUACUGGAACAAGAAGCGCACAAAAUAAGGGCAAUUUCCCAAACAAUAUAUAGGGCCACUUAACUUUGUCAAGAGCCAUUUCUGCAAGCGAAGUCCUCCCUGGUUAAAGAUACAACGAUAAUGUGCCGGCAACUUCACAUGAGCAUUUAGUACAUUCCACGUUAACUGCCUUUUCAGUUGUUCUU